CUAGAAUAUUCAUUCAUUAAUUCCUCAUCAUCCUGUUGACAGUCCAGAGGUAGCAAACAACUUUUUACAGGAGUGAGAAUUGGCACACACCACCCAUAGCCAUGGCCGCGAAACCUCUCUUGAUCUUCACCAUCACCGCCUGCAUCCUCCGCAACGUCGCCGUUUCCUCUCCAAACCCCACUUUAACCGCAGCACACGCGGAGCUACUCGAGUAUGGCUUCCCCGUAGGCUUACUCCCUGCCAACCUCCAAACUUACGAUCUCAACCGUACUUCGGGAGACUUCGUGCUGAAGCUAGACGACACGUGUCGCAUCACGCUGCCUCCGGACAACUACUUGGCUACCUACUCUAAAAAAAUCACUGGUAAAAUUGUAGAGAAUCGUAUUGCUGGGCUUGAUGGAAUUGGUGUUAGGGCUUUUUUUAGGUGGUGGGGGAUUAGUGGAAUCAGAUCCAACGGUCAGGAUUUGACCUUCGAGGUUGGCUACAUCACCAAAAGUUUUCCAUCUAAGAAUUUCGAUGAAAGUCCUGAAUGUGAAGGCAAGCGUUCUUCUUCUUAACAAGUUAGUAUGUUGGCCUUUCUGUCAGCUGCUUCCUGGUACUGAAGGAAAUAACGUCUUCAGAGAUGAGGCAUGAUGUAGUGGACAAAUUUAAUUAAAUAACUGGUCAUACUAGCCCAAAAACUGUAUUGAGUUGCCAGGAUAAGCUAUUUUCUCUGUUAGUGAUGUAUAUGUAUGUGAUUUAAUUCACUUAUACGCUGCCUACCUCUCCCUGCCCAUCUUUUGCCUAAGCAGCUAUUUCAUGUCGUUUGUUGUCUAGUUUAUUGGAGUUUUUUACCGUUCUAUAUGAUAAUGUGCCUUUAAAUUA